AACCUGCCUGGUAGCGGGGGAUAACUAUUGGAAACGAUAGCUAAUACCGCAUAACAGUAGAUAUUGCAUGAUAUCUGCUUGAAAGGGGCAAUUGCUCCACUACCAGAUGGACCUGCGUUGUAUUAGCUAGUUGGUGAGGUAACGGCUCACCAAGGCAACGAUACAUAGCCGACCUGAGAGGGUGAUCGGCCACACUGGGACUGAGACACGGCCCAG
rnacentral:rRNA from 1 species